rnacentral:rRNA from 1 species
AGUUGCGAUCUACUCGGCGUUCCGCGCCGCCGAUAACCGUAGUAAUUCGUAGGGCUAAUACGUGCGAAGCCGCCGAAGCCGCGAGGCGACGGGCGUUCUCGCCGGAUGUAGGAACCGACCCGGGGACCGCCGGGGCAACCCGGCGCCCCCCGAGACGGGGCGAACCACGGUGAAAUGACGGAUCGUCGGCCCCGCGCCGGCGACUCGCCGAAUGAGUUUCUGACCUAUCAACUCGAGACGGCGGGGUAGAGGCCCGCCGCGGUAACGACGGGUAACGGGGAAUCAGGGUUCGAUUCCGGAGAGGGAGCCCGAGAAACGGCUACCACUUCCAAGGAAGGCAGCAGGCGCGCAACUUACCCUAAUCUCGAUUCGAGGAGGUAGUGACAAGAAAUACCGAUGCGGG